CUUUUUAAAUUUUUUUUUCCUUUAAAAGUUUUAAUCCACCUUGUAACACCACCCAAAAAGAAGCGAAAUUAAGCUGCAGUGUGUACUAGGAGAGAAAACCUACUUUAUUUAUCACCCAGCCCUACUUCACCAUGCACUGACCUAAUUACAGCCCACACCAGGCUGGGUAGGAGGAGCAGCAGAAGGAGCGCUUCUGCCACCUAGUGAUCCCUGUCAAUCCCUUUGUGGAAUUGGCGUUUUCCUGUCCCCAGCGCUCGACAGCAAGCGACCUUCCCCAGCCAGCCUGCCUGGAUGCCGGGUUUAUCUGCACACCGCUCUCUUCUCCUCUUUUACGGCUCCAAAACAUCGCUCACGGAUGAAUUCUGACCUACGGCUGGCAACGCUCAGGAAGGCAGCCCUGGCAAGUCACUUCAGGAGUGUGAAUGUGAGUUAUUCCUCCAGCCAAAGAUCUCUCAAGUGCUUAAGGAACAAGUGCAUACCUUCAAAGCAUGACUUCAAGGACCCUGCCCUAAUUGUACUGCGUUCUGUGCUGUGUACCUGGAAACAGUCAUCGUUCACACACAGAUGUUAACAGCCCCUGAUACAGCCAAAGGCUGCUCUUCCUAGAAUUUUCUGAGCAAUGAAUAGUGUCAACAUGGCAGAAACAUAUGGAAAAACAAUUAAAUAAUUUUGAAUAUUAUUAAAAGUUCAUCUGAACAUUAAGAUGUUUAGUGAGAUCAGGGGAGUUCAGACAACCACAGAAAUAGGAUGAGAGAGGAGCAAGAGAGUCAGAAGAAUGAUCUGAAGUCUGGCAGCAGUGAGCCAGCAGAAAGCCUUCCAGAGCCUCUGUCCCUCUACAUUGCUUAGAAAUAUUCCAGCUUGCUGUGAGCUCUCAAGAUUGAUCACGAGUGUCUGCUGCUCACUUCAGAAGCUCUUUGGGGAGCAUGAGUCACACUGGCUCAGAGCCUUUUGGAGCACAGCCCACAGUUUAGUCCCCCAUGGAGGGAAUUUAGCUCUUCAGCAUUAAAACCACCCUGAGGACUCAGCCCUGUCCCCAAGUAAAUACAGAUUGUCAGGGCUUCAAAACCAAACUGCUGCCAAGUUGCUAAUGAAGGCACAACCUAAUGUGGUUUACUCUUUCCCUCUAAAACUUGUAGGGCCAGUGUCCAUCGCCUUUAAGGAAUCAACACAUCAACUGAUGAAGAAAAAUGAUAACAUAAAAUGUGCAAGGGCAAGAAGCUGCAAUCAUAUUCCUUCCGUCAGUGGUGACUCACAGCAAUGCUCCAAGUGAGCGGUGCGUGGGCACCGCCGUCCUGCCACACAGGGCAGAAACAUUCAGGAGACAGACUUUCUCAAUGAGUUUUCAGCCUCCUUACCUUUGUCAUCGGAGGAUGACUCCAUACAUAUUUCAUGAGCUUGGAUAUUGUCUGUUCUAGCUAAGUAAAAAUAACUUGCACACUCUGGUAAGACAAUGAAAAAGAAAAAAGUGAAAUCAAUCCCUUUCAAAUAUA
rnacentral:lncRNA from 1 species